CUGCACCUGCAGCAUAUGGAAAUUCUCAGUAUAGGGGUCGAAUCGGAGCUGCAGCUGGGGCUUAUGGCACAGCCACAACCACACCAGAUUUGGGCUACCUCUGUGACCCACACUGCAGCUUGUGCCAAGGCUUGAUCCUUAACCCACUGAGUGAGGCCAGGGAUCAAACCCACAUCCUCACAGAGAGAAUGUCAGGUCCUGAACCCCCUGAGCCACAUCCAGAACUCCUGUACUGAAUUCUUAACAGCAUCUAUAACUCAUCUGUUUUACUAAACUAUCUCCGAGAUCAGGGGAACAAAAUCUAAAGAGCUAAAUUUAAAAAGCAGCUACAAGACUACAAAUAGAGGUUGAAACCAAGACUCAGAAUCUAGAGUGGGAACAGAUUAGGAACUAAGGUUGGUGGGUCCAGCCUUGUGGAGGCCAGCAGGUGUAUGAUACAGAGAGGUGACAUUGAAAGCAUAGCAACAUGCAGAGCUGAGAGAGAGAGGCAGGGUGGGAAGGGAGAGAGAGGGAAAGAAAGAGACACUGGGUGGAGGGUGGGAGAUAAGAUACAUAAGAUACAUAAGAUACAUAAGGCUGCUUGGCUGGUUUCCUAAGUUAUUCUUUUUUACAAAUGUAGAUAAUGUUUUGUGGGUUGGGGCAAAGAGGACAAAGAGGAUGUGUCUGAGAGCCCUACUCAAAAAUAACUCCCUUCAUGUGUCACUAAUUGGAGAGGGAAAAAAAAAAAAAAAAAAGAGGUUGUCUAACAAGCUUCAUUUUUAAAAUACAAAUUUCCCCAAGAGGCUUAAACCUCACUCAUGCCUUGGAGUACAUUACUUUCAUGAGGCUACCAGACCACCUAACAGUAUAAACAGUCACAAAGCCACAGUUUGAUUGGGGAAAGGUAUUGGCUAACUGCAGGCCAAAGUACAAAGGAGAUGAGUGGUGAUAUAAAUGAGGAUGAGAGAAGGAGUUCCCCAGGGAGUGGGAGGGCACCGAAUGCAAUUCUGUGAAAAUACUGUUAAGAUCCAGACGAAUGUCAAGUACUAGCAUCAUCACCAUCAUUACUUCUCUGCACUGAGCUCUGGAAUUUUAGUAGUAGCCAGUGCUCAUCCAAACCCAUACUUGGUCGCUCAUUUCUAAGGAAAAUAAAUGCUCAGUGGAAUGCCCCACUUAUAGCAGCCCCCCUAUAAAUACAUAUGGGCAUAUGGGAUGUCAAAAUUUGUUUGGACGUUGGAAACUUUCAAAUUUUCCGU
rnacentral:lncRNA from 1 species